UACGGUCGUAUCACGUUGAAACACCUGUUCCCGUACGCUCAUCGAAGUUAAGCAACGUAGAGACUGGUCAGUACCUAGAUGGGUGACUGCUUGGGAAAUACUAGGUGCUGUAG